rnacentral:tRNA from 1 species
GGUGAGGUGGCCGAGAGGCUGAAGGCGGCGGUUUGCUAAACCGUUGUAGGACCUUUAAAGUUCUACCGAGGGUUCGAAUCCCUCCCUCACCGCCA